rnacentral:rRNA from 1 species
AACGAACGCUGGCGGCAUGCCUAACACAUGCAAGUCGAACGGGAUCAGGGAGCUUGCUCCCUGUGAGAGUGGCGCACGGGUGCGUAACACGUAUGCAACCUACCUUCAACUGGGGGAUAGCCUUCCGAAAGGAAGAUUAAUACCGCAUAACAUAAUUGAAUGGCAUCAUUUGAUUAUCAAACGUCAGGGUUGAGGAUGGGCAUGCGUCCGAUACGCUAGUGGGUGUGGUAACGGCACACCAAGGCGACGUUCGGUAGGGGAUCUGAGUGGAUGACCCCCCACACUGGUACUGAGACACGGACCAGACUCCUACGGGAGGCAGCAGUAAGGAAUAUUGGUCAAUGGACGCAAGUCUGAACCAGCCAUGCCGCGUGCAGGAAGACGGUCCUCUGGAUUGUAAACUGCUUUUGUUAGGGAAGAAACCCUCGGAUGCGUCCGGGGCUGACGGUACCUAAAGAAUAAGGAUCGGCUAACUCCGUGCCAGCAGCCGCAGUAAGAC